rnacentral:sRNA from 1 species
AGUUGCUCACGCAUGUCGACCAUCCUCCCGGUCGAUGGGCAACUGUUCCCUCUGGAGGUUAUGACCUUCAAACUCCCAGCCACCGUGAGUAGCGGUGGCUUUUUU